CACCGAAGCUGCGGCAGCGACGCUGAUGCGUUGUUGGGUAGGGGAGCGUUCUGUAAGCCUGCGAAGGUGGCCUGUGAGGGUUGCUGGAGGUAUCAGAAGUGCGAAUGCUGACAUAAGUAACGAUAAAGCGGGUGAAAAGCCCGCUCGCCGGAAGACCAAGGGUUCCUGUCCAACGUUAAUCGGGGCAGGGUGAGUCGACCCCUAAGGCGAGGCCGAAAGGCGUAGUCGAUGGGAAACGGGUUAAUAUUCCCGUACUUGGUGUUACUGCGAAGGGGGGACGGAGAAGGCUAUGUUGGCCGGGCGACGGUUGUCCCGGUUUAAGCGUGUAGGUGUGUGUUCCAGGUAAAUCCGGUUCACUUUAACACUGAGGCGUGAUGACGAGGCACUACGGUGCUGAAGCAACAAAUGCCCUGCUUCCAGGAAAAGCCUCUAAGCAUCAGGUAACAUCAAAUCGUACCCCAAACCGACACAGGUGGUCAGGUAGAGAAUACCAAGGCGCUUGAGAGAACUCGGGUGAAGGAACUAGGCAAAAUGGUGCCGUAACUUCGGGAGAAGGCACGCUGACACGUAGGUGAAGUGAUUUACUCAUGGAGCUGAAGUCAGUCGAAGAUACCAGCUGGCUGCAACUGUUUAUUAAAAACACAGCACUGUGCAAACACGAAAGUGGACGUAUACGGUGUGACGCCUGCCCGGUGCCGGAAGGUUAAUUGAUGGGGUCAGCGCAAGCGAAGCUCCUGAUCGAAGCCCCGGUAAACGGCGGCCGUAACUAUAACGGUCCUAAGGUAGCGAAAUUCCUUGUCGGGUAAGUUCCGACCUGCACGAAUGGCGUAAUGAUGGCCAGGCUGUCUCCACCCGAGACUCAGUGAAAUUGAACUCGCUGUGAAGAUGCAGUGUACCCGCGGCAAGACGGAAAGACCCCGUGAACCUUUACUAUAGCUUGACACUGAACAUUGAGCCUUGAUGUGUAGGAUAGGUGGGAGGCUUUGAAGUGUGGACGCCAGUCUGCAUGGAGCCGGCCUUGAAAUACCACCCUUUAAUGUUUGAUGUUCUAACGUGGACCCGUGAUCCGGGUUGCGGACAGUGUCUGGUGGGUAGUUUGACUGGGGCGGUCUCCUCCUAAAGAGUAACGGAGGAGCACGAAGGUUGGCUAAUCCUGGUCGGACAUCAGGAGGUUAGUGCAAUGGCAUAAGCCAGCUUGACUGCGAGCGUGACGGCGCGAGCAGGUGCGAAAGCAGGUCAUAGUGAUCCGGUGGUUCUGAAUGGAAGGGCCAUCGCUCAACGGAUAAAAGGUACUCCGGGGAUAACAGGCUGAUACCGCCCAAGAGUUCAUAUCGACGGCGGUGUUUGGCACCUCGAUGUCGGCUCAUCACAUCCUGGGGCUGAAGUAGGUCCCAAGGGUAUGGCUGUUCGCCAUUUAAAGUGGUACGCGAGCUGGGUUUAGAACGUCGUGAGACAGUUCGGUCCCUAUCUGCCGUGGGCGCUGGAGAACUGAGGGGGGCUGCUCCUAGUACGAGAGGACCGGAGUGGACGCAUCACUGGUGUUCGGGUUGUCAUGCCAAUGGCACUGCCCGGUAGCUAAAUGCGGAAGAGAUAAGUGCUGAAAGCAUCUAAGCACGAAACUUGCCCCGAGAUGAGUUCUCCCUGAGACUUAGAGUCUCCUGAAGGAACGUUGAAGACGACGACGUUGAUAGGCCGGGUGUGUAAGCGCAGCGAUGCGUUGAGCUAACCGGUACUAAUGAACCGUGAGGCUUAACCUUACA
rnacentral:rRNA from 1 species